GCCUUAACCCGUCUCUCCCCGCAGCCCUGAGCCGCCCGGCGGAGCUCGCAGCUGCACGGGGCCGCGGGAGCUCGGGCUGCGGAGAUCCGGAGGGCAGGGAGGGGUGUUGGCAGGCCAACAGAACUUAAUAGGGGCAUGUAAAGAGAAACCGUUACCCAUGGACCUCUCCAGGCCAACUGGCACGGGGGAUACAAGAAUACCCUGAUGCAGAUCAUUUUUCCUGUUUUUCAAGAUCAUUUUGAAUUCCAAUCCUUUCCUCCAAAGUGCUUGCAACCCCUCCCAGUUUGCUGUCUUCUGCAAAUGUUAUAAUUGUACUCUCUGUGAUGCCAGCAGACAAGUGCCAGCUUAUGCCAAAGUUCCCAUGUGUCUAUUGAACACUGACAAAUACGUACCUGGAAUAAGUCUGGUUUAUCUCUGUGUUAGUAUUGUUACAAUGAUAUUAGAAUUAUAAGAAUGUGUUUAGACUUUAUUGAAUGCUUGUGAGUUGCUGGAUGCAUUAAUCUCACUUAUAACAUCUGUAUCCGUAUUGCAAGAUAAUGUUUGAGUGGUUGUAUUUCAGCCUCAGGGACUGUGUAAAUCACCGGACAGGAGAGUGGCAUUAACCAGCAUGAAGUGCUGAUCACACCAGGAAAGGUCCAUUGACACACACCAGGAAAGGUCCAUUGUCACACACUGGACUAUUGUGGGAUGUUAAAGAGGACAAAAGAUGUUGGUUGUUCUGCCCUCCGCCCCCAUAAAGAUGAGUCAUGCAAAGCGGAUUCCUCCCAUCAGUUGAAUUUGCAGCUCAGAGCACAUGGCAGGAGGGGGAUAAAAACACCAAAUAGAAGAAACAGGAUCUUUAUGCUGCUUGCACUCUGGGGAGGGGGACAAGGUUUACUAGGCAUAAGCAUGAGAUUCCCAGCUGCUUAGCCUGGGUUAGCCCGAAAGGGCAUAUGAACUUCCUUAUUAUAGAAGUUUCUAUUACCUUUUGAAAACUAAGAUUGUACCUCAUUUGUGUGUAUAUGUUUAUCUGCUUUAACUCGGUAAAUAACUCUCAUUUCCUUUUCCUAUUUAAUAAAUCUUUAGAUACUUGAUUGUAGGCUUGGCUAUAAGCAUUGCCUUUGUGUGAGAUCUAAGGUGCAAUUGUAAAUCAAAGUCUGAAACUCACUUCCCUCCUUAGCCCACCAGAGCCCAGAUUUGUUAAUCUUCCAGGAGACUGUAAAACCCACCUUUCCCCCAGGCAUUGAGCAGGUUGAUGUGCUGGAGCAGUCUCAUUACAUUCUGAUCACUUCGCUGGCUUGGGGAAUAGACACAUCUUCAUUUUUUAUAUAUUGAAUACUGUUAUUUUAAUCCAUGGAAAGAACCUAGGGUGCAAGAUGAGUACUAAAAAGUUUAAAGAGGUAAAUAAAGGAGUUGGGGAGAGCUGACCCAUAGCUUUGGAUUUCUUGAUCAUUGUGCUUUGAAAAUCUCACCCACAGUAAAGCUACAACACUGAGGAGCAGAGAAAGCAGAUGUGUUUGUACUGAAGAAAAUAAUACUGUUCAUCAGUCAAGCUCUACAACGGAGGUCAGAAUCAUUAGCCCCAUUUUACAGAUAGAGGAAAAUGAGGAACAGGGGAAGGGAAAUGACUUGACCAAGCCCACCCAGAAGGCCAUAGUAGAGCCAGGAUUAGA